AGAGGAAUACAUUGGAGCAUAUCU
rnacentral:sRNA from 1 species